rnacentral:piRNA from 1 species
UAUGUUAUAGUGCUAAAUAUUGGACCC